UGGAGCAGGUAUCUCCUAUAGGCUGAGAUCGGGGUUCUGUAAUAUCCAACCCAGACAGUCCCACUCCAGAUCACCAGAGGGCACACUUGCCCAAAUUCUGAACUGCUUCUUUUCUUGCCAUUCUCACUUCUGGCCUCACCACUAUAUAAACUCCAUAGACUUUUAGGUUAACAUGAAGCCUUACAGUUCGCCAAUUGGAUGCAGGGCCAGCCAGCCAAACGACAUAGCCAGAAGGGCAGCAUCGCUCCUCCCAAGAGGGGAGGAGGGGGUAUAUGUCAGCCCGGAGGCCUGAAUCUGCCUGCAGAGGAGUGUGACGAAGAGGAAGGAGGGGCGAGGCUGUGAGGAUGCACACCUGGCACUGGGUUGGCUAAUCAGUGGGAGAGAGGGAUAAAAGAGCAACUGGAUACACCAAGGGGGAGAGAGAGAUGCAGACAUGUUUUGUGUUUUACGUUAUAUUUUGCUGAUUAUGAUUAAACAUUGCUUUUAAGUUAA